rnacentral:rRNA from 1 species
CUACGGGAGGCUGCAGUGAGGAAUAUUGCACAAUGGGGGGAACCCUGAUGCAGCAACACCGCGUGGAGGAUGACGCAUUUCGGUGUGUAAACUCCUUUUAUAUGUCAAGAAAAUGACGGUAGCAUAUGAAUAAGCACCGGCUAACUCCGUGCCAGCAACCGCGGUAAUACGGAGGGUGCAAGCGUUACUCGGAAUCACUGGGCGUAAAGGACGCGUAGGCGGGUUGGAAAGUCAGGUGUGAAAUCCUACAGCUUAACUGUAGAACUGCACUUGAAACUUCUAAUCUAGAGUAUGGGAGAGGGAGAUGGAAUUAGUGGUGUAGGGGUAAAAUCCGUAGAUAUCACUAGGAAUACCUAAAGCGAAGGCGAUCUCCUGGAACAUUACUGACGCUAAGGCGUGAAAGCGUGGGGAGCAAACAGGAUUAGAUACCCUCGUAGUC